CCUACGGGUGGCUGCAGUGGGGAAUAUUGGACAAUGGGCGAAAGCCUGAUCCAGCCAUGCCGCGUGUGUGAAGAAGGCCUUCGGGUUGUAAAGCACUUUCAGUGGGGAAGAAAGCCUUGGGGCUAAUACCCUCGAGGAAGGACAUCACCCACAGAAGAAGCACCGGCUAACUCCGUGCCAGCAGCCGCGGUAAUACGGAGGGUGCGAGCGUUAAUCGGAAUUACUGGGCGUAAAGAGCGCGUAGGCGGUCUGAUAAGCCGGUUGUGAAAGCCCCGGGCUCAACCUGGGAACGGCAUCCGGAACUGUCAGGCUAGAGUGCAGGAGAGGAAGGUAGAAUUCCCGGUGUAGCGGUGAAAUGCGUAGAGAUCGGGAGGAAUACCAGUGGCGAAGGCGGCCUUCUGGACUGACACUGACGCUGAGGUGCGAAAGCGUGGGUAGCAAACAGGAUUAGAUACCCCAGUAGUC
rnacentral:rRNA from 1 species